GGAAAACGGUAAUGAAGAAGAGGGAAUAUGGAGGGGAUAGUUUUGUCAUUGUAAAUUUGGUCAACUUAUUUUCUUUCAAUAUUUAUUUAUUUAUCAUUGCUAAAAUAAAUAAAUAAAUAAAUAAACCAAUAAUUUCUUGUGAUCGGAAUUUCUCAAGUCGGAAUCAGAUCGUCCGCUUCUUCUUCUUUCUCUUCUUCUUCUUCUUCUCGAAAUCUUGUACUGAGAAGAUGACUCGAGGAAAGCAGAAGAUCGAAGCUCAGAAACGAAAUGCGGAGAAAAAUCAGAAGCCCAAAGGCUCACAGCUUGAGGCCAGAGCCGUUGCCCUUAAAGUCAUCUGCCCGAUUUGCAAGGUACAACUUGCAAAUCAGAACCAGUUGGGUGAUCAUUAUGGCUCCAAACAUCCAAAGGAAAAGCCACCAUCAGAAUCUGGUUGAAUCUUCGGUUGCAAGUUGAAGUAUGAGUUGCUUUAUUGAAGGCAUUUCAAAGUUCUCUUCUGUUCAGAUCCAUGAAAAAAUUUCUCUGAUCGUCUUCAACUUUCCUGUUCUUAAAAUGUAUUACUUGUAAGGGUAAAAAAACGAUUGGUCAUUCUGUCACUUGUAAAAUAAAAUAGACACUAAUAUGCUUUUUCCAGAUCCCCAAUCUAAUCUCUUCUCUGUGCCUAUGAAA